CAUAUGCCAAUUGGGGGCAUAUGAAAUGAACAUGGCAGUCUAUGGCUCCUGCCGUUACAAUCAUUCCUUCUCCAGCUAUAACCUCAGUAUUUGCCUAUGGUUACACAAAAAGCAUUGGAGGUACAGCAGGAAUAUGAUUAAAACAAGUAGGCACCAUAUACUGUAAAGACUUACCCCAACAACCAUAUCUGGACAUACGCCAUCCAUCAUAUCACGGUUGCCUGCUUUUCCGAGGGCAAAAAUUAUGCCAUCUUUAAUACCAAUAUCCGACUUAAAAAUCCCGGUAUAGUCAAUGAUCACAGCGUUUGUUAUAACUGUAUCCAGAGAAUCAGCUGGUUGACAUCCACAUGUCUGGCCCAUUCCAUCUCUUAUG
rnacentral:sRNA from 1 species